rnacentral:misc_RNA from 1 species
CGCACCUUGCGCUCCUUGGUAUUCCGAGGAGCAUGCCUGUUUGAGUGUCUUGAAGUCAUCAACCCCGAGCGUUUCGCGACGCGAGGGCGUUGGAUCUGGGGCGUGCUGCCGCGAGGCUGCUCCCCUCAAAUGAGUCGGCUGGACCUCUGGGUCGAGAUCGAAAGGGCGUUGUACCAUCCUCGCUCGCUCGAAGUCCCGAACGGGACAGCCCCGACCUGCCUCUCUGAAGGGUGGCGGUCAACUUUCUGAAAGCUGACCUCAAAUCAGGUAGGACUACCCGCUGAACUUAA